UUCUGAUGAUACAGAUGACGAGUCUUAUUCGAGUUUUCGAUGCAGAUAUUUAUUCUUUUUAUACCAUUCAUGCUUCACUGAAC
rnacentral:snoRNA from 1 species